rnacentral:rRNA from 1 species
UUAAGCGACUAAGCGUACACGGUGGAUGCCCUGGCAGUCAGAGGCGAUGAAGGACGUGCUAAUCUGCGAUAAGCGUCGGUAAGGUGAUAUGAACCGUUAUAACCGGCGAUUUCCGAAUGGGGAAACCCAGUGUGUUUCGACACACUAUCAUUAACUGAAUCCAUAGGUUAAUGAGGCGAACCGGGGGAACUGAAACAUCUAAGUACCCCGAGGAAAAGAAAUCAACCGAGAUUCCCCCUGUAGCGGCGAGCGAACGGGAGGCAGCCCAGAGCCUGAAUCAGUGUGUGUGUUAGUGGAAGCGUCUGGAAAGGCGCGCGAUACAGGGUGACAGCCCCGUACACAAAAAUGCACAUGCUGUGAGCUCGAUGAGUAGGGCGGGACACGUGGUAUCCUGUCUGAAUAUGGGGGGACCAUCCUCCAAGGCUAAAUACUCCUGACUGACCGAUAGUGAACCAGUACCGUGAGGGAAAGGCGAAAAGAACCCCGGCGAGGGAGGUGAAAAGAACCUGAAACCGUGUACGUACAAGCGAGUGGGAGCACGCUUAGGCGUGUGACUGCGUACCUUUUGUAUAAUGGGUCAGCGACUUAUAUUCUGUAGCAAGGUUAACCGAAUAGGGGAGCCGAAGGGAAACCGAGUCUUAACUGGGCGUUAAGUUGCAGGGUAUAGACCCGAAACCCGGUGAUCUAGCCAUGGGCAGGUUGAAGGUUGGGUAACACUAACUGGAGGACCGAACCGACUAAUGUUGAAAAAUUAGCGGAUGACUUGUGGCUGGGGGUGAAAGGCCAAUCAAACCGGGAGAUAGCUGGUUCUCCCCGAAAGCUAUUUAGGUAGCGCCUCGUGAAUUCAUCUCCGGGGGUAGAGCACUGUUUCGGCAAGGGGGUCAUCCCGACUUACCAACCCGAUGCAAACUGCGAAUACCGGAGAAUGUUAUCACGGGAGACACACGGCGGGUGCUAACGUCCGUCGUGAAGAGGAAAACAACCCAGACCGCCAGCUAAGGUCCCAAAGUCAUGGUUAAGUGGGAAACGAUGUGGGAAGGCCCAGACAGCCAGGAUGUUGGCUUAGAAGCAGCCAUCAUUUAAAGAAAGCGUAAUAGCUCACUGGUCGAGUCGGCCUGCGCGGAAGAUGUAACGGGGCUAAACCAUGCACCGAAGCUGCGGCAGCGACGCUUAUGCGUUGUUGGGUAGGGGAGCGUUCUGUAAGCCUGUGAAGGUGUACUGUGAGGUAUGCUGGAGGUAUCAGAAGUGCGAAUGCUGACAUAAGUAACGAUAAAGCGGGUGAAAAGCCCGCUCGCCGGAAGACCAAGGGUUCCUGUCCAACGUUAAUCGGGGCAGGGUGAGUCGACCCUAAGGCGAGGCCGAAGGCGUAGUCGAUGGGAAACAGGUUAAUAUUCCUGUACUUGGUGUUACUGCGAAGGGGGACGGAGAAGGCUAUGUUGGCCGGGCGACGGUUGUCCCGGUUUAAGCGUGUAGGCUGGUUUUCCAGGCAAAUCCGGAAAAUCAAGGCUGAGGCGUGAUGACGAGGCACUACGGUGCUGAAGCAACAAAUGCCCUGCUUCCAGGAAAAGCCUCUAAGCAUCAGGUAACAUCAAAUCGUACCCCAAACCGACACAGGUGGUCAGGUAGAGAAUACCAAGGCGCUUGAGAGAACUCGGGUGAAGGAACUAGGCAAAAUGGUGCCGUAACUUCGGGAGAAGGCACGCUGAUAUGUAGGUGAAGUCCCUCGCGGAUGGAGCUGAAAUCAGUCGAAGAUACCAGCUGGCUGCAACUGUUUAUUAAAAACACAGCACUGUGCAAACACGAAAGUGGACGUAUACGGUGUGACGCCUGCCCGGUGCCGGAAGGUUAAUUGAUGGGGUCAGCGCAAGCGAAGCUCUUGAUCGAAGCCCCGGUAAACGGCGGCCGUAACUAUAACGGUCCUAAGGUAGCGAAAUUCCUUGUCGGGUAAGUUCCGACCUGCACGAAUGGCGUAAUGAUGG